GGGGUUAUGGCUCAACGGUAGAGCUCUCACCUCACAUGUGUGAGGUCCUGGGUUCAAUCCUCAGCACCA
rnacentral:tRNA from 1 species